UGGGGAAUAUUGCACAAUGGGCGCAAGCCUGAUGCAGCCAUGCCGCGUGUAUGAAGAAGGCCUUCGGGUUGUAAAGUACUUUCAGCGGGGAGGAAGGGAGUAAAGUUAAUACCUUUGCUCAUUGACGUUACCCGCAGAAGAAGCACCGGCUAACUCCGUGCCAGCAGCCGCGGUAAUACGGAGGGUGCAAGCGUUAAUCGGAAUUACUGGGCGUAAAGCGCACGCAGGCGGUCUGUCAAGUCGGAUGUGAAAUCCCCGGGCUCAACCUGGGAACUGCAUUCGUAACUGGCAGGCUAGAGUCUUGUAGAGGGGGGUAGAAUUCCAGGUGUAGCGGUGAAAUGCGUAGAGAUCUGGAGGAAUACCGGUGGCGAAGGCGUCCCCCUGGACAAAGAAUGACGCUCAGGUGCGAAAGCGUGCGGAGCAAACAGG
rnacentral:rRNA from 1 species